rnacentral:rRNA from 1 species
GACAGAGGGGGCAAGCGUUGCUCGGAAUCACUGGGCGUAAAGGGCGCGUAGGCGGGAUGGCAAGUCAGUCGUGAAAUCUCUCGGCUCAACCGAGAAACGUCGGCUGAUACUGCCGUUCUUGAGGGAUGCAGAGGAGACUGGAAUUCCCGGUGUAGCGGUGAGAUGUGUAGAGAUCGGGAGGAACACCGGUGGCGAAGGCGGGUCUCUGGGCAUCUCCUGACGCUGAGGCGCGAAAGCGUGGGGAGCAAACGGG